UCCCCGAUAGCUCAGUUGGUAGAGCGCGCGGCUGUUAACCGCUAGGUCGUAGGUUCGAGCCCUACUCGGGGAG
rnacentral:tRNA from 1 species